GCGGGCCCAGCGCAGCACUGAUCCCCAGGCCUUAGAAAUGAGAUGUGGGCCAGACUUUUGGAAUGUGUUUAGCAGUGAAGAGAAAACUGCUCAAGGCAGGGCCCAGCCAAGCUCCAGUUCGCCUGUUUCCUCUCUUUCAGCAGGUCUAUCUGUCUGUGCAUGUGCAUCUGCAUCUCUACCUCCAUAUCUUCCAAGGCAGAGUUAUGUCCUUGGGCACACAACCACCCCUGGGAUGAAGUAAUUCAGACCUCCAGGAGGGCAGCAGAACAUCUAAGAAAGGAGCAUCUCCCAAGUUAACAGGUUUCUCCAGGCUGAAUGCAAAAUUCCCACGUGUUCCUGGGUGUGAAGCAAGCACAACAUUCAACAGAUGACCACUGAACUCCUACGACCUCUCACGUUUCCACACUUGUGUAAACCAGGUUAUAAUGCAACUCAAAAAGAGUCGGAUUAUUCUUGUGCAGAUCUUUCUAACGCUCAAAGCAAGGAAAAGUUAUAUAAGUAGUGUGUUAAGUUUUUUAGAGAGAAGUACUUUGAAGUAAAUUUAAACAAAAGAAACCACCACUACUGUCCACCUUCCAAUUCAAAAUUAUUUUUGUUAUAAAAGAAAGA